GAUCUUUUUCCUCUUGAAUAGCGGAAAUUUGCUUAGAAAGCGUAGCCUAUUGCACCAUUCAACGUUAAUCUGGUACAACCUUAUCCAUUCUGGUUUCCAUUGAACAAAAUCUUCUACUAUGUAUUUAGCGUUGCCUUGUUUCAAUCGAAUAGAUAAUGACAAGAUCGCGACACUGUUAACGCAGCGAAAGUUUCUCGUUCUGACAGAACUUUGAAUGUAAAAUAUCAAAUGAUCGUACUUCUUUCAUCCCUUCCUUCUUCGUCAUUAACGUUGUUCAAUAAUUCUGUACAAAUAACAGAAAAAAUCAGUCGAUGGUUAAGAUAGUUUGAAAAGAGACAGUUUCCUGCAUUCAACUACAGUACGUCUUCUGAAAAAAAAACGGAAGAUAUUUUACUAAGAAUGAUAUUUAUGAAAUUUUCUAAGCAACUAAGGAUACAUUUGACAUUAUAAUAAUCAACAUUUUUGACGAGCAGAGAUAUACGAAAGGUCAGCUUUACAUUUUUUAUCUUUAGAUUCAUAUACACGUUCUAUUUAUAUCUACACUUCAGGUUUGCAUAAGUAAAUACGCACAGCCUAUUACUAGAAAAAAUGGUGUCUCAAUAAUUUCUACCCCAAUAAAGCACGAAUAUAUCGCUUUCGAGACGCAACAAAUUUCCCAGACGAGCUUGACCAUUUUAAAAGUCACCGCUUUGAACGGCCGCAUUUUUCCUCGUUUUUCAGCAAUUACUCCGUUCUAUCUGAGCUUAAAUGGAAAACCGAUAGUCUCGGGAAGAAACGCGAUCGGAGAGACAAAAAAAAAAAAGAAAAAAAAAUACGUAUCGAAACGGAGAGUGAAACGAUGUAUAUUCAAGUUGUUCGCUCUCGUUCGAAAGACUACGGGGAGAAAUGUAGGACAAAGCGGUAAAAUAAAUCAUCGAGCGACAGAAAGCAGGAGACAAGAGAGAGAGAGAGAGAGAGAGAGAGAGAGAGAGAGAUAAACCAGUCGAAACAGAAACUCGGGCGAAAAAUCGACGAUAUAUUAUCGCGUUCCGCAGAACUGCUUCUCUAUGGAUAUAGUACGUUUAUCGAUUUCUCUGGAAAAUCGAAGGCUACUAUAGCCGAAUGAAAAAUCCAUAGGUCGAGAGAGAUUGUUCAAGGGGAGAAUGAAAUGCAGCGUAACGGGAUGGUCACGAGAUAAUUCCAUAGCUUUCGUAGCUGCUCCAGUUCUCUAUGGUGUCAAGGUUGCAUCGCAGGGACCUUACCAAAAGAAGCACUAAAGCAACCUCUCUCCCCGUGCUCCGGUUGAAUUCACCGAAGAAUCGAUAUUCGUUCGUUUCACUCGCUGCAUCGUGAAACGACAGAUCGUACGCUGGCUCGUGAAACUAUUUCAACGUUUACCAUAGAAAACUUGUAUCUCCAUAUUGUACGUGUCACAGGAAACAUUUUGAAAUUUCGUUACUAUUAUUGCGAGACACGACUAUCGUGAUUAUAUUGGUUGAAUUUGAAAACAACCUGUAAAUUUUGUCUAUUGUACAUGGAAUACAUUUUCAGAUUGUUUUAACACGAUACAAGAUAUUUAUCGCAUGUAUACAUAAUUUUGUGAAAAUUAAGUUUAACCAUAUAUAGUGAAUCCUAAAUAUAAUCUUCCAAAAUAUUCAGAUUUAUUGAUAUAAUGUAUACCUGAUUGCUUUAAUACCUUCACGAUCUCUGCGAAAUAUAAACUCGUACUAAAUAUCUUGUACUUUCUAUACGUGUUUUCAGAAUUGUCUUAAAUUUAAAUAAUAUAAUCGCGAUACUCGAGUCUCACAACAGUGCUAAUGAAAUUUCAAAAUGUUUCAUACGACGCACAUAAUAUAUUUAUAAGCUGUAUCUGCGUGUAUUCGAAUAAUUUCGUGAGCCUGUGGUGCAGUAUCUGGUUUGAAGUUACCGAAAUUUAUUGCUAAUUAAAUAACAUUUUUCGUAAUAUUCUGCUGAGGAAAUGGAUGCUGUAUCUCCUUCGGAAACCCUCUCCAGAAAUUCUAUUUAUACGCUCGCACAGUAUGCAAUUGAUAAAAAAUUCCAAUAUCGCGCCGUAUAUUUCGGAGUUUUUUACUUUACGAAUGAGGAGAACAUUUACGAUGCUGUUGCACGUGGAUCGUUGAAAAAUGUGACGCAGACCAACGUAAUAUACCGUCGUUACUCUUUAUCGAUUACCGCCGCUACUCGCUCGUGUGCCCGGCAAUAACGUAAUUUGCGGUUCCUGAGAGUGCAUCGUGCCACUUGACGCGAACACGGCCCUUCACUCUUGAUGCACUUCCUUCGACGUUGCAGUUUGCAUAGGUGCGACGCUCUGGCUCCCUAUAGUGACGUCGCCCAUUAAAAAAGACGUGUAGCGACUUUAAAUAAUCGAAAUUGCUAUUCACAGUUGAAAAACUUAGGAAAGUAAAUAUUUUAAAUUAAAAAAACUUUCGAUAACUAUACAUAUCGAAGAUUGUAGGAGAAAAAUACGACAAGUACAUUUUUCUUGAUUUCUUAACUUCGACGUUACUUAAUUGAGUUAAUGUUACAUACGACUAAGCAGAAAAAUGUUAAUAUAACAUAAUUGAAAAUGAAAACCUGCCAGCUUUAAAGAUGAAAUCGUUUAAAAACAGCUAACAAGUUGAGCAACUUUUGUAGAAGCUGAAGCUUCCAUUUUUUCUUCUUCUUCUUCUUCUUCUUGUUGCUUCUGUAUAACAAUGUAGUGCCAUGUCCGUACAGAAGCCUAGAAGAACCAAUAACAGGUGACAUCAAAUUCAAUUUACCAACGACCCAUUGAAAUUCUCUCUGUAAAAUUCACUCUUAUAAUUUUAUAGACGAAUUACGUAAGAAAAUUUUAUUUCUCCAAGACGUUAUAUAUUUUUACUACCAGGGAAGAAACAUUAAUCGGCGUAGAUUGAUGAUAAAAGCGACCCGCAUUGAUGAGACAGUCACGCUUGCCUACGAUCGAGCAGGGUCUCGAGAUUACGUUCGCACACGAGCGAACCAAAUCGUUGUCGUUCGACGAUGGUCGCGUAGCGUGGCCCUUAUCAGCGUCAUGCACACACGUGUCUACACGUGCUGGUUGGGUGAUAAGCGCGACAAAACGUCACUGUUCUCCCGUGAAGUGCGAGAGAGCUCCGUUCGUCUAAUCACCGGGUACACCGAGUGUCUCUCGUUCCCCUAUCCUCCACGUUGGCGUGUUCUUGACACCGAAGGUGUUCGUUCUGGAUGUAACACGAGAGUUUAUGCGAUGGACUCCAGUGUGUCGUUGAUCGAGUGACUACGUACGAACCGCUGAGAAGCUUCACUUAUCAACUGCAUAUAUCAAAAUGUAAAGAAAAGUGGUGAUAUUACGAAGUCAUCACUCUUUCAAAAUUUAUUGUAGAAUUUAUGAUUGUUUAUGGUAAUGGAAGGUGGUAAAUCUUAUAGGAGUUUACCAGAAAUUCUUCAAAGUUCUUUAUUAGAAAUAUAUUGUUCCGUACAGCGACCCAGUCAUUACACGCUCGUCCAUUUCUUCGUCCACGACAACCCUUCGAGAAUAGAAGUUUCUAAUAUUCUAAGGCAGCCAUAGCCAGUUUUUUCCAGUUUUAUUUCUCUGUCUACGCUUUUCUUAACAUGUCCACUCGAUCAGCAAUAAUCUUCAAGAAGACCUUACUGCCGUGUCGAAAGUUAAUCCUUGCUUUUACCUUAAGUACCUUAGCUUUACGGUACAUUCUUUAACGAUAUAUUUACAGUUUAUAACGAUUUAUUAACGGUAACGUUAACAUCCCAUACCCUCGAGUGACCGUUAGUUUGGAAAUGGUCAGUUCUCAUCUUGCCUACCAGCUUUUCCUACCGAUUAGCACCGAUGGCCGCUACCCUUACUGCCUUAAAGAAAAUUGCAACUCAAUGUUGAGGGUGAAUCCGCUUGUUCUAUGUUCUACACAGGCCUAUCUCAAGCUUUCAUCUUUUCCACAUGCAUCACCGAUACCUCGCUUGCACUCAGCUCUCAGCUCAAGAAAUACAAUAAAACGACACGUUAAAACCCUGUGUCAGAUUCUAUCUAACUAUCCUUAUCAUCUUAAUCGAAAUAGGGAAUUUAUGGCGUUGAUGCCAAUCGAGACAAGAAUUUACUACUCUCGUUGACGAGUCACUGAACACAGUCGAGCAAAGUGGAAAAGUAUGAAUGGCCCUUAGUAAUUUAAUAUGUUACAAAUUGGUAUGUUCAAUUCUCUUAUCUCUCUCUGUAUAUAUUAAAAGACCUUGAAAUUAACAAAAUCCUACAAUUCUUGAAAUCUCUUUAAAUUUCAACGAAAGAGCAAUGAAGAAUCGUUCGUAAAAAUAGUGACAAAAAUACAGCCACUGUAAUACAUAACGAGACAAAUCUCCAGUAACCUACUAUGGAUAAGAGACAGUUAGCAAUUUUCAUUCAGUUUUCUUUCAUAAACCGUGGAUGUUAGAAACGACCACAAAAAUCUUUUUAGUAACAACGUAUAAGUUUACGACAGCAACGUCGGUUGAUUUACCGACGUGGAAAUAACGCGUUUGACGUUCCUUACCUUCAACAAUGAAUUUUCGGUUUGUGCGCACGACACGUAUUUCGCACUGGCCUACUGACAAACAUACAUUGCCUAGGAACGAGUGCGUGGCUCUCGGGCAACUCGGAGCUGGUGAACUGGCACGUUAAACCGACCGUUUGUUCGUCGCGGGUCGGCUCGUUGAAUCGAAACGCGUAAACGAACGCGUUGAAGUUCGCGGAAAUGAAAUCGUAGGAAAGAGUGGAGUUGCGUGUAACUGUAGCUAUACACUGAACCGUGCAAGUAUAAAGUGAAAAUGUAAUAACAAGGGAAAGGUAAUUCGAAUACGCGUACUUACUCUUUCUUUUUCCUUUCCUUCCCCGUGGCGCUUGCCUCGACUUUUCGGAAUUCGCGAGUGAACGCUGACCUACCUGUUUACGAGACACGACCGCUUUCUCUCGUGUAAUGUAAAAACGCGUGCGCCAUUGUGAGAACAAAUGCCAGUUGUCUGAAUUGGAGUAUGGAGCGAAGAUGAUAGGUCAGAGGAUAAUGGAGAAUGGUUGAGUCUUAUUACAAAAAUAAUAUAAUGACAAUGUUUGCUUAGCUGAUGUUUCUUUAAUACAAUUGUUAGACUAGAAAAUCACGAAAGCUUGUCCGAAUUAUCUAAAUUAUUUUCGUAAAUGAUCGUAAAGGAAUGUUCUCGUGCAGGAGUAUGCAUAAGUUCUCAAAGAACAUGUACAGCAAGUUGGACGGUGAUAAUUAUAACAACAGGUAGGAAGAUGAAUCGCUAUUUAGAUUACGUUUACUCUAAUGAAUACUUAAAUCAGCAGAGAUAAUUAGAAAUUAGUAACAAAGUAUAUCUGAAAUUACUUUUUCUUCGUACGAGUCAGAGUAGUCAGAAUUAAUAAGAAUAAUUAUAACAAUCAAGUUGUGAUUUUUCGUAGAAAUUUUAUUUAUAAUGUCCUUUUAGGAAUUUCAAUGUUCCUUUGUAAAAUACGUAGAGACAAGCAUAUCUUUCCUCUUGCAUUAUGUACGAAUAUUUAUUCAUAUACCUCUCCUCUAUUUUAAUUUCCGUCCAUAUAAACUUUCUACGUGAAUGCAGGAAUUCUGGUGUUAAACACAAAUUAACCUUACCAUCUUCUAAAUCAACGCUACGUUCUCCCAAAAACCGAGCGCUACUCUAAAUUAAACGGAAUUAAAGAAAAUUCAAAUAUUCUUGAAGAUACAGAUUAAUCGUAAAACAAAAAAUACAAGUACAAGGUUUGGUGGAGAAAGUGCAUAGUCAGCUCGGUACAGUUCAGUUUCUUUCUUAAAGCAGUCUCGAAGAAGUCUGAAACUGGUAGAAUUCGAUAUCUGGGGCUGACCAACACUCUUGGUCACUUUGAUCCACGAGAAUCAAUCGGAUCGGCCAUAUUGAAGCGGCGCGUUGAAAUCGGUCUUGUCUCUCGUUUGACCCCGGGACGAACCCUGAGAUUGGCUUCGUUAAGGAAAGGCAUGGCACUCGUCGAUGGCCGCACACAAAAACCACCAACAUUCGUAUAUCGUGUCCGUACACGGUGUAUUUAAUUAAAGUGGCUACCGGCUACGUGUGUGUGUGUAUGAGUGUCUGUGUGUAUGUGCAGACGAAUUGACGCGCUCGUGCUCCAAGAGUGCAUUAAUCCGAGACUUUGGCGUGCACAGCGAGAAGACACACUGCAUCGUCAACGAGAUGAUUCAAAGAAGUGGAUGAAAGUAGUUUUUGAAGAAAAUAUGAUGGGAUUGAGGGUUUCUGAAGUUUCUAGGUUACGUAAAAUGAUGGAAGCAAGGGAACGAGAUAGCUCGGAACAAGGAAAAACAAAUUGCGCUCAUCGAGAAUUUGUCGUGUCGCUUGUUCUAGGUUCGUGGAUUUUUGAAAAUCAAAAACGAGAGAUUGUAACAUUCCUAAGAAGAAUUCUAGAAUCGUCGAGAAAUGUUGGAAAAUCGAUCCUUAGAAUUUGUACGUUGUUCUUGACGAAUAUCAACGUUGUUAAUAAUUUAGGGAAAUCGAUAAAUAUAUAUGAAUAAGGAGAAUUGUAAAAUAAAUAGUGAAAUUUAGAAAAACGAUUUCUUAGGAUUCGUUCGUUAUUUCGUAAAGCAAAAGUAGAAGCAAGGAGACUACGUUCUGAAUAUGAAUCUUUGAAAUUUACGUACAACCUUAAGCGUACCGUUUCUGCUGUUCCACUUCGUAGCAGGCCGGAUUUACGUCAAGUUAUGCAAUAAUAUAAUGUUUCCCCAUGUUUCUCCCUGUUGUGAGUAAUAAAUCUUGUCGACUGCGGUGAAUUCCAACAAUAUUAUUUUACAUAAUCGGUAGCGAUGCGGUAACAUCUUGUAAACUUCCAGUAACCAUUUAAAGUUAAAAGAAUGGCGAAUACCAAACUAAAAUACGUUCCAAACAAGAUUUAAAAAGCAUGAUACUUCGAAACUUUAAUAAAACUGCGGUAUUACGCUUUUAUUACUUUACUGAUACUGAAAAGCGGUAUACAACGAUUAUGAGUAUCAGUAACAAGUAAAAUUUCAUCAGUCAUGUUGGAUCGAUCAAAAAAUGAUGUGGAUCUGUUAAAAAUUAAAACGAAUAUGAACAGAGAACGUAGCCUGUUCACUGUAGUAUUCCAUAUUUAAAGAGCAAUAAAUUCCAAAUAAGAAUAGAAAAUUAAAAAGGAAUAUAUUAAUUCGAUGUAACAGAUACGGAUUAUUCAGUAUCUGCUAUGUGCAUAUAUUGAGAAUUUUCACAGAGAAUUCCGGAAUCAUAGUUGCGUGUUUCCAUGGAGGUUGCAACAACAUGGCGGCAGGAUUUUGAAGAGAAUUCCAUGCACACAAUAGCCGCGUACCGCGUCGAAUAUCUCGCAGAAGGAACACACCGGUAAUUGUUAUCGCGUCGCUUUGAAACGCGCCGGAUUCUGUAUUAUUAACCCGUUCGUCUCUCUGACCUGGCUAGCCAGUUGAUGCUUCGCAUUUUGCAUUUUAAUAUAAAGGAAUACACGGUUAGAUAGGAACCCAUAAAGCUCCCAGACGGACACGAUGGCGCUUCCAAGAACGCCUGCCAUUCUGGCAGGAAUCCAGCCUUUUCUAGAUUUUUGUAGCUCGCCUUACGGCCUCGUCGCAAAAAUCACCCUGCGAUAUUCAAAAGUUGAAAUUUUAUUACGCUCUUGUGAAGUUUACGAAUCGUACAAAAAUUGCGAUUUUUGAAAUGUCGUCUCAUCCGCGUUUUAAAUUCUAUUUUUUAACUUUUGCGUAUGAAGGUUACAGGGCGCACGUUAUAUCCAAAGUACGAGAACGAGUACUUUCGAAAUCGAUGCUUUCCGAGAGAGUCGAUUUCAAUAUUCUUGCAAGUGCACUCAACUUUACCGACAUAAAUACCGAGGCCACGAGACAUCAUGCACGAUCUCUGCUCGAUUUUCACGAAUUCCCGACUGCUGUGUCUUAGAGGAACGUUCACGGUAAACAACCGCGACAAAAAUUCCUUCGCAAAAUGGACACACUAUCUGCCGACUAAGAAUUGACUGUCGACGUAGGGUGGUGCAAUAGAAAAAGUAAUUUUUUCAACAGUCGCCAGAGCAAUACGUUUCUACAGUCAGCCGUGGAUAUUUUCUCGGUGGACGGAUCGAAGGCAAUAUCGCGAUAUAUCCACGGCAAUAGAAAUAUUGCCGCGUUCUACGAUGUCCCAGGGAGUACCGAAUGGAAAAACUGUUCAUAUUCCGACCUGGUCGAAGAAGCAUUCGAAUAUAUGCCUCUCUGAAAAGUUAGAGCUUCGAGCCACGCUCUACAGCAGUCUCGUUUUAUCAGGCGGCGUGUUCGAAUUAUGAAUAGCCGGGGGCUCGAUCGAAUGGAAUUACGUUUCAUUAAUUAAAUAGCUGUUUGGUCGAGGGUGAGCUCGGGGCUAUCCCCAAGGAAUCGUAAUUUCGAGUGGAAGCACGAACUUCGCCGUAGCAAUUAAUUUCCUCCAAGUUUACACCGCGUCGCAUCUCCGCGAGUGUGUACAUCGUUCUACUUUUAUCUUGCUCGUAGAAAUGCUGAACUUUUCUGAUUCUCUGCAAAGAUUCUCCUCUAUUCAGAGAGCAGCUGCCUCGUUUAUUUACGGUUCUGCCGAUGAUGUACGAAUCGCCGGAUCUUUCGCUCGGUAAACGAAGAACGUGCCCAGCCCUUUAACACGUCGGACCUGCUCGGUUUUCGAGCGUUCUCGGCUGAAGUUUCAGCCAAAAGGAAAGAGAAGAAAGAGCUUUUGAGCACCGUGUUACAUCGACCGUCCUUCUGCGAGCUUCUCCAAUGGUUUUCCUUCUUCCUCUUCCUCGUUUCUCCUUUUUCAACGUUCCAUGAUUACAAACUUCGGUUCCGGAACCAAAGUCGGCGACCUCGCGAGUACUUCCACUGACGUUCCGGUGGAGAUGCUUGGUAAUAAGUAGAGAUAUCGAGCACAGCCUUUAUCCGGAGUCGAAGAGCUUCCAGCAAGAAGCGCCACUCUCGAGAUCGCCUUAAUUCGUUAGCUUUUUUCCAUCCUCCAACCUUCCAUCUUCCCAUGGUGAAGGACACUCGAGGCUGGCCGCCUCUUCCUCUCGCGUUUCUUAUUUACGCGAUAUUCAAUCCUUCCUGGUCGUCCCGAUCUUCGAACCUGUUGUUCUUUUUGCUGUCUGAAAUUUUCUACCAAAGUUUCAUCUUUCCAGAAAAGUAGAUGGAAAUCGAUCAUUUUUUAAGUAUUUGAUACAACUCUUAUCGUAUAAAAAUCGAGACAGAAGAGUAGGUUAGAGUUAUAUUGUGUCGCAGGUUGGUUCACAAGUACAAUUACAAUGUUUAAUAGAACUUGUAUUUUAGGACGUAUCUUUGGAAUGUAAGACAAAGCGAUAUAUUAGAGUUCGUUCUCUCCGAAGUUUAUGUGUAUUAUGUCACUCACGAGAAGUUUGCCUCGUUACAAGAUCUGAAACUCAAGCAAAAGUUGGGGAAAUUUUGGCUGGCUUCCUCGAUAUCUCCCAGUCACUCACGAGCAGCAUACUUUCUUAAUAGAAGUUCAUUUGUUAAGUUACUUCCUUCUACAAAUAUGUACACAAUUUGUACAUUUUCUCGAUAAUUAAUAGACUGCUGGUAUUUUAAACAAACAUAAAUGGAAUGCAACACAAUAUCCACAGGGAGUCUUUUUUAAUUAAAAAGUAAUAUAUUCCAAGUAAUAAAGUAAAUAAACCUAUUUAUCGUAACAUUUAACGAAUGAAAUAAAUGAACGAAACAAAUUUUUGCUUUACUUCCAUUUCCUUGAUCGUUUAUAAAAAUUUGAAAUUGCGUAAACUCCCGUAGUUUAAUAAUUAAUAAUUUUUCUUACUAAAGGAUGCUAGAUUUUUACAUCAAUUUUUCUUCCACCUUCUCCAAGAUUCAACAUUUAUUAUACUUUUUCGUUUGAAAUUUAUCACAGUCCUGGCCGACGGUGUCACAGAGUAUCUACGUUUCGUUCAUUCUCCAGCACGAAAUUUCCUUUCCAUUUUCGUCGAUCCGGAGCGCCAUCAAUUUUUCUUCGAUUCUCUUUGGGUCUCAUCUUAACCUAAAAACCUCGAGGAGCCUCUUGAUCCAAAGUAGUAGAGAGAUCGCAAUGGGAAAGUGGCCAGAAUUUUUCAUACUUCCAUCCAUCCCAUAGCUAAGAAUUUUCCUUUCGACCGUUGGAUGCGAUCGAUUUUCCACUUCGCCAGAGGGACAUAGACUCCGUAAUGCAGUAAGAGGAUUGAGCCGUAGAGUCUCGCGUAUUCGUCGAACAAAUUAAUAUUCCAACAGUUUCUCAAACCUUACCGAGACCUACUUACCCUUAGGUAAUACAGUUUCCGCCCACUUGUACUCAAUUUUCCACGUCACAGACAUCUUCGACUCGAUAUCGCUAUCUUCUGUCGCCAUUUAUAUAGUUAAUUCUACUAUGACCUCUAUAUUAGCACAGAAAAUGAAUGAGACUACAGUAAUGUUAAUCUCAAUUUCAAUGCAAUUGUUUCGUUCUAAUUCAAACGAAUAAUUACGAUACACGACAUUUUCUUUGGUAUAAGUAUUAUCCGAAUUAUGGAAAUGGAAUUAUUUCGACCGAGUGUUAUCGCUGGCGAUAAGAUCGUGUUGGGAAUAGCAAAUGCCUGAUCAAGUCGUUUUUGCUCCACUAAUUUUCCGAUUAAUCUUGGCGAGUUCGUUACUAGUCUCGAUAGUUCGAUAAGAAUUAUUACGAAGAUCCGGAGUGGGUGGUUAUUUCUUAGUAUCGUCAGAACUCCCAUAAAAUUCGUUUUUUUUACGCUCAAACUACCAGAGUGUAGUUUUUUGUAGAAAUUUUAUAGAUUUUAUUGAGAGUAUGAAUUACAAUUAGAAGCUUGCCCAACGAUACCCUGGGAGAGCCUUGCACAAAUACAAUUGCGGAUAGACAAGGUGGACGUCGACGUCGCAAUUUUAUCUGCGUGUAAUGGUAGAUUGUCUUAUCAGUGACGGUUUCGUAGCCACAGUUAGUGUCCGGAGACGCGAUUUAACGAUUAUAGUCGGCCGUUAACGGUCAGAUCCAAGUUCCAAGACGCGAGAGGAAGCUUCGAUUUCCGCGUGCUCGUCGUGGUAAAUCUCCUUUCGUUGGAUUUAUGUUCCGGAAAGUGGGAAGUUGCAGUGGGACAAAAAGCUUGCCAAAGUCACCUCUGGAUUAAUGUUGCUCCGUCGAAUUUAUUUUCUUUUUAUCUGGAUUCAAUUUACAAAAAGAAAGCAGAUAUAACGUAGCAAGGAUAAAUUAACGAGAUUAAUUAAAUAAACGACGAAAUAACUUCCAGAACUAAAUGCUACACGCUAUUGUAUUACGACAAUUACGAUUGAAAGCACUAACAUUAGUUGAACAAGCUUUGAUAGGAUUGUAAAAAACUACGGCUGUCAAGCUGUCAAACUGUCAACGCAUACGACGUGCUUCGCUCUUUAUUAAGUCAUUAACAUUAAUUUAAACAGUGUAUCUUCGAACAUAGUUCGCUUAAAAAAUUGUUCGUAACAGAAUUCGGCGUGCCACAAGCUAAAUUACCCUCAGCUUCGCUCAAAUAGCCUUACCUUAAUCUAUGAAAAACUGAAAGAAAUAGAAAGAGGGAACAUGGAUUAUUAGCGAUGAAGAUGCAGAAUCCUGUUGUUGUUUUGCCUCGGAGUAUCAAGACCAUUAGGUUACAAGUAUUCUAAGGAUCAAUAAAGGUAUGUCGCCGCUACAUACAACCGUCAAACGUAGUCGAAUUCAAAUUUUCCGGUCCUCCCCCGACCAGUAUAAAUAAACGGACGCGAUCACGAGCGAGAGAGUUCAUCGAACAGUGUCGAAGAGCAUCAACGUGUAAACAGGUAUCGAAGUGAUCUACAGAGCUUCUCCGAGUAUUUAUCGGGUAUUUAUUUCGCAAUUUAUACUUGUACCAGCGACUCACAAUUUGUCUGUAAUUUAUUUAUUUAUUUGAAAAUAUAUUUAACGGAUUGCAACAGCAA